GCGGCUGUAGUCUAGCCUGGUUUAGGACGUCAGCCUGCCACGUUGAGAACCCGGGUUCAAAUCCCGGCAGCCGCACCA
rnacentral:tRNA from 1 species